rnacentral:lncRNA from 1 species
ACGGAGCAGAGCUCUGCAGCUGGACCUCACCCCUUCUUCUCCCUGGACAGAACUCAGCCUCCAACGAUCAGCUUAAACAACCUAGGCAGUCACUCAAACCAGGCUGGAUGGUAGGCCUGGGGUGUGGCGGUGAAUGGGUAAUGCCUGUGCCUAAAGAAGCUGCUGAGCCUGCCUUGUCCCACUGUAGUUCUAGUCCCCCACCUCCACCCUUUCUCGAGCUGCACACCCAGGCCUAGGCACCUUCCCUAUACCUGUCUGUCCCUGGCACCAUCAGCUGCCUUGCUGGUCAGUUUCCUGCAUGUGUACCUUGUCUGCUCUGUGGCAUGUGCCUGCUGCGGGAGCCACUGCUGGUACCUUCCUGCCUCGCUGCCUCUAGUCUCUGCACAGUGGCUGUCAACCCAGCUAUGCAGGGG